GAAAUGUGAGCCUGGAUUCCAGAAUUGGAAUGAUCAUGGACUGGUACUGGGAACAUGACGGGAACAGGAAAAGCUGAGUUCCUAAAGUCAUCCAAACGUCUGGUGCAGGAGUGCCAAGAGAAAACACCAAUCACAAUGCCCACCCAGAACUGUGUUGGUGAGAUGGGCAACAGCAUUACUAGGAAGACUGGUGGUUUCUCUCUACGGGUCACGGCUCAUGUUUAAAGAGGUCUAGAUCCCCUGAAUGUUCGAGAUCACCCUGAUAUCAUACUGAUUGCACAGGACAAGCAAGAGCUGGCUGGGACAUCGGAUGCCUUGUAUUUCAAGGAAUUUCUGGCAUCAUCGAGAACAACAUGGAUUCAUGAAUAUGAGCAAGGGACCUGUAGUCAAGUGUAAGUCCCAGUUCUGCUGCAUACUGUGACAAUUUCCCUGCUUUUCCCCACCUGUGAAAUAAAGGAUGACAAUCCUACUGAUUUGAUAGAGUUGUCUGAUGAAUACAUGAAUUAAUCCAUGUAUAACACUUAAAACAGAGCUGGGAAUUUACAAAGAAAUCAACAAAAAUAAACAAUAAAUAUUAUCUCAAAAUUUUUAUCAUAAGCCACU